rnacentral:rRNA from 1 species
AGAGUUUGAUCCUGGCUCAGAAUCAACGCUGGCGGCGUGCCUAACACAUGCAAGUCGAACGAGAAAGUGGAGCAAUCCAUGAGUACAGUGGCGUACGGGUGAGUAACACGUGACUAACCUACCCUCGAGUGGGGAAUAACUUCGGGAAACCGGGGCUAAUACCGCAUAACAUCUACGGAUCAAAUGCGCAAGCAGCUUGAGAAGGGGGUCGCGGCCGAUUAGCUAGUUGGUGGGGUAAUGGCCCACCAAGGCAAUGAUCGGUAGCCGGCCUGAGAGGGCGCACGGCCACACUGGAACUGAAACACGGUCCAGACUCCUACGGGAGGCAGCAGUGGGGAAUUUUGCGCAAUGGGGGAAACCCUGACGCAGCAACGCCGCGUGGAGGAUGAAGCCCCUUGGGGUGUAAACUCCUUUCGAUCGGGACGAUUAUGACGGUACCGGAUGAAGAAGCACCGGCUAACUCUGUGCCAGCCGCCGCGGUAAUAC